rnacentral:rRNA from 1 species
AGAGUUUGAUCAUGGCUCAGGAUGAACGCUAGCGGCAGGCCUAAUACAUGCAAGUCGAACGAGUCGCAAGACUAGUGGCGCACGGGUGCGUAACACGUAGGUAACCUACCUUUUACCGGGGAAUAACGAUGGGAAACCAUCGCUAAUACCGCAUGAGAUAGCAGAGGGGCAUCCCUUAGUUAUUAAAGAUUUAUUGGUAAAAGAUGGGCCUGCGGCUGAUUAGGUAGUUGGGGGUGUAACGGACCACCAAGCCGAUGAUCAGUAGGGGUUCUGAGAGGAAGAUCCCCCACACUGGCACUGAGAUACGGGCCAGACUCCUACGGGAGGCAGCAGUAGGGAAUAUUGGGCAAUGGAGGCAACUCUGACCCAGCCAUGCCGCGUGCAGGAAGAAGGCGCUCAGCGUUGUAAACUGCUUUUGUCCGGGAAGAAUGAUCGCUACGUGUAGCGAGAGUGACGGUACCGGGUGAAUAAGCACCGGCUAACUCCGUGCCAGCAGCCGCGGUAAUACGGAGGGUGCAAGCGUUGUCCGGAUUUAUUGGGUUUAAAGGGUGCGUAGGUGGCUUUUUAAGUCCGGGGUGAAAGGCGGUGGCUCAACCAUCAGCAGUGCCCUGGAUACUGGGAAGCUCGAGUAAGUUUGAGGCCGGUGGAACGGGUGGUGUAGCGGUGAAAUGCAUAGAUACCAUCCAGAACACCGAUUGCGGAGGCAGCCGGCUAAGGCUUCACUGACACUGAGGCACGAAAGCGUGGGGAGCAAACAGGAUUAGAUACCCUAGUAGUCC